AAAUCAUAUCCGGUGUGUUAUAACCCACCGCCACCGUCGGCGAUGAGGAAGCGGUCGCUGCCUCGCUACUAUGAAUUCCUCCUCGGCAAAGACCAUGACCGGUGGCCGCCGGAGGCCAGGCUCAUGGAAGCCGCCCACGACGGCGACGUCCGCGAGAUCAAGAAGAUCGCAAAGGAGCUAAACGUGCACGGGCAUGGGAUCCCGGUGACAGUGGCCAACACAACCUUCCACAGCAUGAACGUGCCGCCGGUGGCCUAGGCAGGCUGCCGGUCUGCCGGUAUCUCGCGGAGGAGGUCAAGAUGGUGGAGAUCGACAAGCCUGACAUCUGUCGGGGUACCUUCUUGAUCCUGGAGCUGAUCUGCAUCAGCAAUGUAAAGAUGGGACCAUGUCUACUCUUCUUCAUUCAGCUGCAGUUCAUGCUGUCAAAAGGAUCUUAAUUUGGUUUUUAAUUCCCUGUGCUGUAAGAAUAUGCCGUAGUUUCAUGCUCACAGUCUUGACUACUCUCCUGCUCCCUGCUGGACCUUUUUCUUAAUGAGAAUUGUUUUGUGCUCGACUUUAUUUUAUCAAGAGCUCAGCUAACCUAAUAUAAGUAAAACAAACCUGAUCUUUUUCGCUUCUAAUGUCCAUCAGCGUCUGAACAGUGGUCAUUCUUAUGAUAAGUUUAAACAUAGUCGUCACGUUAAUUUGAAUUUCCUGCUUCAUGAUAUGUAAAAUAGCCAUGUGUCAUGUAUUGCUACAAUUCUUGUUAGGCAUUAUAUUUAUCCUUAGUCUGUGGAUCUUCUCUUGGGAUAUAUGUUUCAGAUGUUAUUUUUGCCUUACCCAUCUAAUCUAGUUUCCAAGAAAUGUCUGCUUACUUAAUAUAUGAUAUGCAAGUUUCUCCGGGUAUCUAUUCAUACAUUAUUUUCUGUAUGGUUACCAUCUUAUUAUGGUAGCUGUUUAUGGUAAUUUGUUCUGUAUGUCAGUUCAGGGAAAUGUGAACGAACGAUUGCUUUCCAUCAUUACCAUCUUCUCAUGGUAGCUGUUUAUGGUAAUUUGUUCUGUAUGUCAGUUCAGGGAAAUAUGAACGAACGAUUGCUUUCCAUCAUUAGUCAGUUCUGCAGAUGUCUGUUGGGUUCUGUA